rnacentral:RNase_P_RNA from 1 species
UCUGGAGUACGGAUGGCCGCUCUGCGUCUUCGCAAGAAGAUGCGGGGAGGAAAGUCCGAACACCUCCCGCAAUAGCGGGAAGAAGGGUGGUUGGUAACGCCAACCGUCGCAGCAGCAAUGCUGCUGAUAGGGAAAGUGCCACAGAAACUAUACAGCAACUUGCCUUGUGCAACGCUUAAGGUGAAAAGUGGCCGUAAAACGGCCUCUCCCGUAUGGCGACAUGCGGAAGUGGUAAACCCCACCCGGUGCAAGGCCGUGUCCGCCUUUGGCGGAAGUGCCGCUUGAGGCGCUAUGGCAACAUAGCGUCCAGAUAAAUGGCCAUCGAUAACAGAAUUCGGCUUAUAGUGCUCUGGAGGAA